AAUUCUCCCCAUUUUCCCUUUCUCUUUUGUUUUUGUUCCAUGUCUUGAUUGGAAUGGCAUAUAUAAAGGGAGUGUCAACACUAUGUGACCACUUUAACAAAUCACAUACAAAACAUGUGAUGAUAUACUUUAGCGGGUUGAUGACACCCUUGAGUUGUUCAAUAAACUCCAACUACAGCACCAAUAUGUUGCUACAAUGACUAAAACAUUACAUGAUGCAUGUGACAAAUUGGAGUUGUUUUGUUGUUGCUCACCUUAUUUAUUUAUUUAUUUGAAGAGGGUUGGUUAUAAUGAUUAUAAAGGCCAUAAUUUGAAUUAUGGUCAUUGAUAAUCUAAGGGUUGUUAUCCCUUUAUUUUCAAGGUCAACGAGCAUGAGACAUGGCUUUACUUGGAUCUUUAAAUGACAAAUGAGGAGAAAAAGUAAAUGAGAAUUGAUGUUUUAA